CGGCGGACGGGUGAGUAAUGCCUAGGAAUCUGCCUGGUAGUGGGGGAUAACGUUCGGAAACGGACGCUAAUACCGCAUACGUCCUACGGGAGAAAGCAGGGGACCUUCGGGCCUUGCGCUAUCAGAUGAGCCUAGGUCGGAUUAGCUAGUUGGUGGGGUAAUGGCUCACCAAGGCGACGAUCCGUAACUGGUCUGAGAGGAUGAUCAGUCACACUGGAACUGAGACACGGUCCAGACUCCUACGGGAGGCAGCAGUGGGGAAUAUUGGACAAUGGGCGAAAGCCUGAUCCAGCCAUGCCGCGUGUGUGAAGAAGGUCUUCGGAUUGUAAAGCACUUUAAGUUGGGAGGAAGGGUUGUAGAUUAAUACUCUGCAAUUUUGACGUUACCGACAGAAUAAGCACCGGCUAACUCUGUGCCAGCAGCCGCGGUAAUACAGAGGGUGCAAGCGUUAAUCGGAAUUACUGGGCGUAAAGCGCGCGUAGGUGGUUAGUUAAGUUGGAUGUGAAAUCCCCGGGCUCAACCUGGGAACUGCAUUCAAAACUGACUGACUAGAGUAUGGUAGAGGGUGGUGGAAUUUCCUGUGUAGCGGUGAAAUGCGUAGAUAUAGGAAGGAACACCAGUGGCGAAGGCGACCACCUGGACUGAUACUGACACUGAGGUGCGAAAGCGUGGGGAGCAAACAGGAUUAGAUACCCUGGUAGUCCACGCCGUAAACGAUGUCAACUAGCCGUUGGGAGCCUUGAGCUCUUAGUGGCGCAGCUAACGCAUU
rnacentral:rRNA from 1 species